rnacentral:rRNA from 1 species
CCUACGGGAGGCAGCAGUUAGGAAUUUUGGGCAAUGGGCGCAAGCCUGACCCAGCAACGCCGCGUGGGUGACGAAGGCCUUCGGGUUGUAAAGCCCUUUUCUGAGGGAAGAUGAUGACGGUACCUCAGGAAGAAGCACCGGCUAACUACGUGCCAGCAGCCGCGGUAAU